rnacentral:rRNA from 1 species
AUGCUGAUUAGGAAAUUCUGGUGGGGGAGCAAGGAUGGAAAGAGAAAACCAAGUUGGGUCUCUUGGGAAACAAUGACACAACCUAAGAGCAUGGGUGGCCUAGGUUUUAAGGAUUUCGAGCUUUUUAACCUUGCUCUACUUGCGAAACAAGCAUGGCGUAUAUUACAGACGCCGGAAUCUUUGAGUGCAAGGAUCUUGAAGAGCAUUUAUUUUCCCAAUGGAUGUAUCUUAUCAGCAGAACUUGGAAGUCACCCCAGCCAAAUUUGGCGCUCUAUUAUCGAGGGACGGGACAUACUCAAACUUGGGCUGAUUAGACGCAUAGGAAAUGGUGAGACAACCAAUAUCUGGAUGGACAAUUGGAUCCCCAGGGAUGUGAUGAUGAGGCCUUACGGGAGGAGAUCCGCCAACCCCCCCAAUCUUGUUUCUGCCUUGAUCGACCACACAACAGCUACAUGGAAUUGGGAGAGGUUGGAGGAAGUAUGCCUACCAAUAGAUAUCCAGGCUAUUGUCCAAAUUCCAAUAUGCACCUGA